GUGCUCACUUCGGGGGCACACAUAGUAAAACUGGAACGAUACAGAGAAGAUUAGCAUGGCUCCUGCACAAGGAUGGCAUGCAAAUUCAUGAAGCAUUACAUAUUUUG
rnacentral:snRNA from 1 species